UACGAAGGGUGCAAGCGUUAUCCGGAUUCAUUGGGUUUAAAGGGUGCGUAGGCGGAACAAUAAGUCAGUGGUGAAAGCCCGCAGCUUAACUGCGGAAUUGCCGUUGAUACUGUUGUUCUUGAGUACGCUUGACGUGGGCGGAAUGUGCCGUGUAGCGGUGAAAUGCUUAGAUAUGGCACAGAACACCGAUAGUGAAGACAGCUCACGAAGGCGAAACUGACGCUGAGGCACGAAAGCGUGGGGAUCAAACAGGAUUAGAAACCCUUGUAGUCC
rnacentral:rRNA from 1 species